AAAAAAUCGACCACGGCCCGCACAAGAGUGGUUCAUGUGGUACUAUCCGAAACAACGCGAAGACCUUUGCAGGUCUCGACAUCCUCUGACAACACAGAGAUAGGGCUUUCCCUUCGGGGCCAGAGUGACAGGUGGUGCAUGGUUGUCGUCAGCUCGUGUCGUGAGAUGUUGGGUUAAGUCCCGCAACGAGCGCAACCCUUGAUCUUAGUUGCCAGCAUUCAGUUGGGCACUCUAAGGUGACUGCCGGUGACAAACCGGAGGAAGGUGGGGAUGACGUCAAAUCAUCAUGCCCCUUAUGACCUGGGCUACACACGUGCUACAAUGGACAGAACAAAGGGCUGCGAGACCGCAAGGUUUAGCCAAUCCCACAAAUCUGUUCUCAGUUCGGAUCGCAGUCUGCAACUCGACUGCGUGAAGCUGGAAUCGCUAGUAAUCGCGGAUCAGCAUGCCGCGGUGAAUACGUUCCCGGGCCUUGUACACACCGCCCGUCACACCACGAGAGUUUGCAACACCCGAAGUCGGUGAGGUAACCUUUAUGGAGCCAGCCGCCGAAGGUGACAGAAAUUGG
rnacentral:rRNA from 1 species